UCAGCCCGGGCUGGAAUUUUGGUCACGUAAUCGCUUGCUGUGUUUUAAUAUGAUUUUAUGCUUAGGCCGGGCUGAAAUUUCAGCCCGGGAAACCGGGAUGAAACUCAGCCCGGGCUGAAAACUCUCCAUGUAAUCAGCCCCUUAAUAUGAAGAAUAAGCAGCUUAGUUUAUCAAUGUAUUCAAUCAAAAUUACAAUACAGUGUUAUCCAUAGAGAUUAUAAAUAACACUAGAGGAGGCAUCGCAAUCUUGACAUCAGGCAAAAAAGGAAUGCGGCUAUUCAAGUCCCGGAUGUGUAUUCAUGUUCCCAUUGGUGAGGAGUUUCAAAUCAGCCAAUAAGAGCACAAUUUUAUAUCCGGGACUUGAAUUUGCUCCCCAUUAGCUGCGUUCCCAAUUUUUAACCUCGAUGCCUCCUGGCCUCUAGUGUUAUUUAUAAUCUCUAUGGUG